rnacentral:sRNA from 1 species
GAGCGCCAGAUGUGUCUCCGGAGACCGG